GGUAGCUGACGCAUGUCGUCAUUGGUCACGACGUGUCUCCUCAUUGGCCAUUACCUUGUGGGAGGAGCGUAGAGAAGCGGGGAAACGGAAGUGGGAGAACAAAUUUAAACAAGGUUUGAAAUGUUACCUCUGUUUGCCAGUACUGUGAGAAAACGUCGUUAUCAAAGAGUUCUGGAUGCUAAAACAGACUCUGGAGCUGCUUUUUUGUCGAACUCAGUGAGACUGGACGCUGAACACACCUGCGGCGCGGAGGUUUACUCGUUCAGUUGCUGCAGCCUGGACAGAAACACCAUCUCUCACCAUACAAGCCAAACAGGAUUCAAACUUCAACCAUUAAAUCACAGAGAGAAGAGACUGACAUGAAGACAUUUCCAGGAGGUCUUCAGCUGCUGUCGUCUUCUCCUCCUGCAGAGACAAGAACACGUGAUAAUCACAGAAACUGAUCAGCAAAUCUGUUUUUCCUUUCCUAAACUGACCUUAUUCAUUGUUGAUACCUAAUUACAGUGAUUUAAACAACUCAUUCAGUAUCAUAUAUUUCAGUGUAUUGUUCUAAUUAUUACAGUCACAAUAAUGACUAGAAAGAGUUCUGAAACUCUAAAAUAAUCUACUGUAAUUAUUACAUAGUUAUCUCAAUUUUCACAGAAUGACAUUUUGUGUCUGUUGUUGAAACCUUACCAUACUAUGAGUAUUUUGACGAUGAUUUUUGAUGCCUGACCAUACUAUGAUAUUGUUUGACAGUUUUCCAUGCUUUACUAUACUAUGUUUUUUGAAAGACUUUUGAAACUUGCCUAUACUAUAUUUUUGGACCAGUUUUCAUGCCUUACUAAUCUAUAUUAUUUUUUAACGCUCUACUAUACUAUAACAUUGACAUCAAAUAACAUACAACAUGCCCCUGAGUCAUUUUUAGCUGAAAAAUCUGGACCUGAAAUUUUGACAUUUUUCACUCCAAACGAUGACCCGCCGCCUGUCGCCGAUAUCAAAAAUGGUGAUGUCAACUUUUUCAAAGAAUUCACUCAAAACCUGUCCAAAUCCACUUCAAAUGUAAUAAAACAUGCCCCUGAGUCAUUUUUAGCUGAAAAAUCUGGACCUGAAAUUUUGACAUUUUUCACUCCAAACGAUGACCCGCCGCCUGUCGCCGAUAUCAAAAAUGGUGAUGUCAACUUUUUCAAAGAAUUCACUCAAAACCUGUCCAAAUCCACUUCAAAUGUAAUAAAACAU